rnacentral:misc_RNA from 1 species
GCAUCAUGAUUAGGACGUCCACUUAACUUGGAGUCCGAACUCUCACUUUCUAACCCUGUGCACUUGUUUGGGAUAGUAACUCUCGCAAGAGAGCGAACUCCUAUUCACUUAUAAACACAAAGUCUAUGAAUAGUAUUAAAUUUUAUAACAAAAUAAAACUUUCAACAACGGAUCUCUUAGGCUCUCGCAUCGAUGAAGAACGCAGCGAAAUGCGAUAAGUAAUGUGAAUUGCAGAAUUCAGUGAAUCAUCGAAUCUUUGAACGCACCUUGCGCUCCAUGGUAUUCCGUGGAGCAUGCCUGUUUGAGUGUCAUGAAUACUUCAACCCUCCUCUUUCUUAAUGAUUGAAGAGGUGUUUGGUUUCUGAGCGCUGCUGGCCUUUACGGUCUAGCUCGUUCGUAAUGCAUUAGCAUCCGCAAUCGAACUUCGGAUUGACUUGGCGUAAUAGACUAUUCGCUGAGGAAUUCUAGUCUUCGGAUUAGAGCCGGGUUGGGUUAAAGGAAGCUUCUAAUCAGAAUGUCUACAUUUUAAGAUUAGAUCUCAAAUCAGGUAGGACUACCCGCUGAACUUAAGCAUAUCAAAGGAGGGGGAGAAAGACGUCCAACUUAACUUGGAGUCCGAACUCUCACUUUCUAACCAUGUGCCUUGUAAGCCUGUGCAAUUGUCUGGGAUAAGAGCACUCGCAUGAGAGCGAACUCCUAUUCACUUAUAAACACAAAGUCUAUGAAUGUAUUAAAUUUUAUAACAAAAUAAAACUUUCAACAACGGAUCUCUCUGGCUCUCGCCUCGAUGAAGAACGCAGCGAAAUGCGAGGAGUAAUGAGAAUUGCGGAGAUCGUGGAAUCAUCAUAUCUUUUUUCGCCCCCGCGAUCCCUGGCGUACGUGCAGCGUGCGUGUGUGAGUGUGAUGUACUACAUCAACACAUCUCGUCCUCUUCUGUAUUGAUGAAAAAGGAGUAGAGAGGCGGGUGCGCGGCGC